rnacentral:rRNA from 1 species
GUGAGGAAUCUUCCGCAAUGGACGAAAGUCUGACGGAGCAACGCCGCGUGAGUGAUGAAGGUCUUCGGAUUGUAAAGCUCUGUUAAUCGGGACGAAAGAGCCUAGUGUGAAUAAUGCUAGGAAGUGACGGUACCGGAAUAGAAAGCCACGGCUAACUACGUGCCAGCAGCCGCGGUAAUACGUAGGUGGCAAGCGUUGUCCGGAAUUAUUGGGCGUAAAGCGCGCGCAGGCGGAUCUGCCAGUCUGUCUUAAAAGUUCGGGGCUUAACCCCGUGAUGGGAUGGAAACUACAGAUCUAGAGUAUCGGAGAGGAAAGUGGAAUUCCUAGUGUAGCGGUGAAAUGCGUAGAUAUUAGGAAGAACACCAGUGGCGAAGGCGACUUUCUGGACGAAAACUGACGCUGAGGCGCGAAAGCCAGGGGAGCGAACGGGAUUAGAAACCCCGGUAGUCC